CCCUUAGAGUUUGAUCCUGGCUCAGAUUGAACGCUGGCGGAAUGCUUUACACAUGCAAGUCGAACGGUAACAGCAGAGCUUGCUCUGGCUGACGAGUGGCGGACGGGUGAGUAAUAUAUCGGAACGUGUCCAAUAAUGGGGGAUAACUAGCCGAAAGGUUGGCUAAUACCGCAUACGCCCUGAGGGGGAAAGCUGGGGAUUCUUCAGAACCUGGCGUUAAUGGAGCGGCCGAUACCUGAUUAGCUAGUUGGUGGGGUAAAAGCCUACCAAGGCAACGAUCAGUAGCUGGUCUGAGAGGACGACCAGCCACACUGGGACUGAGACACGGCCCAGACUCCUACGGGAGGCAGCAGUGGGGAAUUUUGGACAAUGGGGGCAACCCUGAUCCAGCCAUUCCGCGUGAGUGAAGAAGGCCUUCGGGUUGUAAAGCUCUUUCGCAAGGGAAGAAACGAUAUGGGUUAAUAGCCUAUGUUAAUGACGGUACCUUGACAAGAAGCACCGGCUAACUACGUGCCAGCAGCCGCGGUAAUACGUAGGGUGCAAGCGUUAAUCGGAAUUACUGGGCGUAAAGCGUGCGCAGGCUGUUUUGUAAGUCAGAUGUGAAAUCCCCGAGCUCAACUUGGGAACUGCGUUUGAAACUACAAGACUAGAAUAGGUCAGAGGGGGGUAGAAUUCCACGUGUAGCAGUGAAAUGCGUAGAGAUGUGGAGGAAUACCAAUGGCGAAGGCAGCCCCCUGGGAUCAUAUUGACGCUCAUGCACGAAAGCGUGGGGAGCGAAC
rnacentral:rRNA from 1 species